rnacentral:rRNA from 1 species
UACGUAGGGGGCUAGCGUUGUCCGGAAUCAUUGGGCGUAAAGAGCGUGUAGGCGGCCCGGUAAGUCCGCUGUGAAAGUCGGGGGCUCAACCCGUCGAAAGCCGGUGGAUACUGUCGGGCUUGAGUGCGGAAGAGGCGAGUGGAAUUCCUGGUGUAGCGGUGAAAUGCGCAGAUAUCAGGAGGAACACCGGUGGCGAAGGCGGUUCUCUGGGCAUUACCUGA